CAGUCGCCGCGGGAAUACAGAGGGUGCAAGCGUUAAUCGGAAUUACUGGGCGUAAAGUGCGCGUAGGUGGUUUGUUAAGUUGGAUGUGAAAUCCCCGGGCUCAACCUGGGAACUGCAUCCAAAACUGGCAAGCUAGAGUAUGGUAGAGGGUGGUGGAAUUUCCUGUGUAGCGGUGAAAUGCGUAGAUAUAGGAAGGAACACCAGUGGCGAAGGCGACCACCUGGACUGAUACUGACACUGAGGUGCGAAAGCGUGGGGAGCAAACAGGAUUAGAUACCCCCGUAGUCCCUGUCUCUUAUAC
rnacentral:rRNA from 1 species